rnacentral:lncRNA from 1 species
AAGAGACUGGAAAAACAACACGGUGUGAGCAUUAUGGCAGUGGAAGUUCAAAUCGGAUGACUUUAGAUCUAGUCGGGGUGAGGUCGUGAAUCUAGGAAAAGUCUAGAUGGUAAUGAACGUGUCCAACGGGAUGUCAUGGUAUAUGUUACAUGCGUUGUCAACAAUCAAAUGGAUUGAGAAAAGACUUUGGACACAACCGAGGUGGUGGUCGGGUGUCCGAGAAAGGUCGAGAAUCGAGAUGGUUCUAAAAGGUGAUUAAACGUUGUAGUUAAUGGGUGGUAUGACCAAUCUGAUUAAGGGGGUGAUUGUUGGGUUAAUCGGAUUUAUGAGUGCAGGGGCAUUUUAGGAAAGUUAUAUAUUUAAGUUUUGUUUGAUUGUUUUAGAGUUUGAUAAGGUUUCUAUUUUACUUAGUUCAUCCUUUACAUUUAGAUUUUGAGUAGGAUACUAUCUUAAUUAGUAUAAAUAGCUGUAGUCGUUUGUUUUGUUAAUGUAAUUUCCGAUGCUUCUAUUUAGUUCAACUUUGUUAGCAAGCAACUUGUUUCUUUUUUUCUGUUUCGUUUAGUUUUAUUACUUUGCCUUGGUGCACAAGGUGUAACUUUUUUUUUUACACUUGGUAUCAGAGCGAGGUGACGACGGUGCCAGUUUGAGAGUCGGUUUAAAGAAAAACAUAGCCUUUCGUUGUGGGGCAGACGCAGUGGGAACUGGGUUCGGUUUAAGGUGGUGUGGAUUGUUUUUGAGCGUGAGUUGAAGCAUCUCAACAGCAGCCCCAAUUUUUUUGAUCGGGUUUGUUCUAAGGUACAGAGAGACCAACCGGAGGCACAGAAUAAACGAACAUGAAGACGUCAAAGUGGGUGAAUUUGAUUUAGUUCGUUUUGCAGGUGACGGAAGACGGUAAAAGUGGUCGUGACCUUGUCUUGUUGUUCGGUGGAAAAGUGCUCUCAGAACAAGUUUGAUUAGGUCAGGGUUGUCAAAAAAAAAAGAAUAAGACGUUGAUCGGUUGAAAUCAGAAGGCAUAAAGUUCUUGAUCAGUUUGUUCAGGUUGAAAUCAGAAGGCAUAAAGUUCUUGAUCCGUCAAAAAAGGUAGCUUUGGAUACAGUUCGUUUGCCAGGUUGAAAGAAAACGGUGAAGUGGGUGGCUUUGUUUUCUUCGUCGGUGGAGUCGCCUCUUUGAAGAACGGUAAUCGAAACAAAGGAAGAGACUGGAAAAACAACACGAUGUGAGCAUUAUGGCAGUGGAAGUUCGAAUCGGAUGACUUUGGAUCUAGUCGGGGUGAGGUCGUGAAUCAAGGGAAAGUCUAGAUGGUAAUGAAUGUGUCCAACGGGAUGUCAUGGUAUAUGUUACAUGUGUUAUCAACAAUCAAAUGGAUUGAGAGAAUACUUUGGACGCAAUCGAGGUAGUGGUCUGGUGUCCGGGAAAGGUCGAGAAUCGAGAUGGUUCUAAAAGGUGAUUAAACGUUGUAGUUAAUGGGUGGUAUGACCAAUCCGAUUAAGGGGGUGAUUGUUGGGUUAAUUGGAUUUAUGAGUGGAGGGGCAUUUUAGGAAAGUUAUAUAUUUAAGUUUUGUUUGAUUGUUUUAGAGUUUGAUAAGGUUUCUAUUUUACUUAGUUCAUCUUUUUCAUUUAGAUUUUGAGCAGGAUACUAUCUUAAUUAGUAUAAAUAGUUGUAGUCGUUUGUUUUGUUAAUGUAAUUUGCAGAGCUUCUAUUUAGUUUAACUUUGUUAGCAAGCAACUUGUUUCUUUUUUUUCUGUUUCAUUUAGUUUUAUUUCUUUGCCUUGGUGCACAAGGUGUAACUUUUUUUACACUUGGUAUCAUAGCGAGGUGAAGACGGUGCCGGUUUCCAGAAAACCAUAGCCUUUCGAUGUGGGGCAGACGCAGCGGGAACCGGGUUCGGUUAAAGGGGGUGUGGAUUAGUUUUUAGUGUGAGUUGAAGCAUCUCAACAGCAACCCCAAUUUUUUUGUUCGGGCUUGUUCUAAGGUAGAGAGAGACUAACCGGAGGCGUGGAAUAAACGGACGGGAAGACGUCAAAGUGGUGACUUUGAUUUAGUUCGUUUUGCGUGUGACGGAAGACGGUAAAAGUGGUCGUGACCUUGUCUCUUUGUUUGGUGGAAAAGUGCUCUCAGAACAAGUUUGAUAGGUUGGGGUUGUCAAAAAAAAGAAUAAGACGUUGUUCGGUUGAAAUCAGAAGGCAUAAACUUCUUGAUCGGUUUGUUCGUGAUAAGGGGAUACCGACGUAGAUGCGUGAAAAGCGGGCAGGAAGGAUCCGUCAAAAUAGGUAGCUUUGGAUUCAGUUCAUUUGGCAGGUUGAAAGAAAACGGUGAAUCGGGUGGCUUUGUUUUCUUCGUCGAUGGAGUCGCCUCUUUGAAGAACGGUAAUCGAAACAAAGGAAGAGACUGGAAAAACAACACGGUGUGAGCAUUAUGGCAGUGGAGGUUCAAAUCGAAUGACUUUGGAUCUAGUCGGGGUGAGGUCGUGAAUCUAGGAAAAGUCUAGAUGGUAAUGAACGUGUCCAACGGGAUGUCAUGGUAUAUGUUACAUGCGUUGUCAACAAUCAAAUGGAUUGAGAAAACACUUUGGACGCAACCGAGGUGGUGGUCGGGUGUCCGGGAAAGGUCGAGAAUCGAGAUGGUUCUA